rnacentral:misc_RNA from 1 species
GGACAUUGCCCAUUCUAAUGUCACAGCCGAGGUUUCGGUACCACCAAAUAGAAUAUCCAGAACCAGGCCCUUGAUAAUUUCAUCUGUAUAGUAUUCUGGUUGUGAUUCUUGCAAAGAAAGAAGAUGGCCGAUCAUGGUAUUAUUCCUUCUCUCGGAACUUGCUUUUUCAUCACACCGAUGCUCGUCAAUAAGAUUCUGCAGUAUCCUAUCAGUUCUUUUGCCAAGUCUCUUCGCUUUCUUCAAAAAACCCUGAUAGUCGAUCCACUGCAAGAAAGGCAAGAAAUCUCCAACAUAUGAGGCUCCAGCGUAUUCAAAAAUCUUUGUCAUCAUCUCCCUGAAUUGCUCUGCCUCUGCCUUGUCCCUUCCAGUCACUUCCUCGCCGUAGUACCGCUUACCGGCGACCAUGCGCAUGAUUAUGUUAAAAGUUAGCUCCAUGAGCAUUGGUUUCAACUCUACCUUAGCAAAAUCAUGGCUUGAGACACUAUAGAGUUUGUUCAGGAAAAUCUUGAUUUCGUCUCUCCGGAUGCCUGUGAACACGUUGAGACGAUUCGAUGAGAAAACUUCAAGAGUGCUUAUGCGGCGGAGGUUGCGCCAGUGG